GCACUGCUGAUGAGUCCCACAAUAGGACGAAACGGCCUCCCAGUGC
rfam:Schistosoma margrebowiei strain Zambia genome assembly, scaffold: SMRZ_contig0004806